AUCCGGCUCCUUUGCUCAGUGGGGAACCUGCUUCUCCCUCUGCCUGCCGCUCCCUCUGCUUGUGCUCUCUCUGAUUAAAUACAUACGUACAUAAGAUACUGACAGUUCAGAAGCUUGGGGAAGGGGAGACCCAAAUUCUGCAGCCAAAUGCCGUUUUUACUUUUGGAGCCGUAUUAAGAUCUUUCCCUGUUUUCUACUAAGAACAUGGAGAUAAAGGGGAGCCUGGUGACAGGAGAAAAUCCAGACUCUCCCACCAGCUCUGCGUGACUUAGCUACUCUCGGGAGACUUUCCCUCUGCAGGCCCUGGUGACGACUCAGGCCUUCAUCUGUGGGAAGGGAGUACAAAGCUGCAAAAGCAGUGGAUGCCCAUUGUGAGAAAAAAAUGAAACCCAACAGGACACAAAGGAUUACACAUGACACACAGAGGUGCGAAGGCACCUGGCUCCAGGAAUCCCCAACAGACCAGGCUCAGCCCCUCGCCACUGAUAAAAUCCAAAGGCAGAGAAACAAGUGGUGGUGGAACAAGAAAGGAAUUAAAAAAAAUAAAUUUUUUUUUUAAUCCUCUAUAUACCCGGACCUGGGGCUCAAACCCCUAACCCAAGAUCCAGUGUUGCAUUCUCUUCAACUGAGCCAGAAAGGCACCCUGCACAAAAAAGGAAUUUCAAAGAGGCCAACAGCAGAGAACAAGGGUGUGUUCCCUCUCGGAAACUAUGGCCAAAAAAGUGGAACGACUUCCAGGUUUAUAUAAGGAAAAAUGUGGUGCAAAGGUGGGCGGGUACCUACAGGUAGGCUGAGAAGGUCAAAAGGAUCAUUGUCCUGGAGUCAGUCCUGGGUGGGGUCUUACGGGCUCAGCCCAGUCCUUAUGGCUUCGGGGUUAGUUUUGGUUCGCUUCUAGGGAUGGUCUUGCCCUCCAGGUCUUCUGACUGAGCCUAGAGACAAACUGGAAAGAACCCAACUAGAAAGUUGAGGUCAAAACCGAGGCAGCCCAAGUCCUCUUUCAAAUAGAUCUCUGACUGUCUUUUACUCAGUAAGGUGGUCUAGACUUUCUUCUGUCUGUGUAGAAAAAGUACUUCUCUUUCUAAAGCCUGUGUAGUAUGCCUGGCAUGUGUCAUUUAUUGAGCAGGUUUUCAAAUCACCUCCCAUUUUUUUUGCUAACAUGAACGAUCCUGCAGUAAACAGACUUGCAGUAAACAGACUUGCAGAUGUAGCUUUGGUUGAGUAUCUCCCCGAGAAGGAGUCUUAGAAAUAGAAUCACUGGUCCUCGAGUUCAUUUCUAUGAGGUGUUUCAUUGUAUAGAAAAAUUUUUAGGCAGGUAAACUAAGACCAAAAAAGAUGUAUCUGUGUAUGUAUAUAAUUUCAUUUAAAGGCUCUUUUGAUCCACAGCCUGAAAUAAUUUCUUAAAAACCGGCCGGUUACUAGGAGAGUAUGUCUUCUUUUUCUUCUUUUUUUAAUGGGCACCGAUUGGCUGGGAAAGCGGCCUCCCUUUACUCCCUGCUCCCUGCCAGUCACAGCUGUGUGAUCAGUGUGGGGACUCCUGACUGCAGGCCCUUGGGCGCCCCUCUGGGCUCGGGGGCGCUGGGCCUGCGAUGCCUCCAGCCAGCACUCUGGGCUUGGGAUGAGCUAUAGUUCAGAUUGGCAUUUGUUUUCUCAAGGGCUUGAAAUUGAGAGAGGGAUUGCAGUGAUUUUCACUCUUCCUAACAUUUCUUUUUGCAAAAUCCUAUUGUGCAAGCCAGAUAUUCAGCUAAAAUCAGAUCUUUAUGGCUGUGUUGGGUACUUAAAA